AUCUGAAAUGCCAUGUUAUUUUCCUGGAAGCUUGCUGAAUAAUAUAUAUUUACGCAUUUCAUGCCAAGAUUCGUAUAUGUUAUUGUCACUGUUUUUUCCACGGAGAUAUGAAAUAAAAAUACUAAAGUUUAAAACUUCCGAAAAUUCAAGUUAUUUCGUCUUUCCAUCAAAUUUAGUUGUACACGGACGUAAGAUUUAGUCGUAUCGCGUACGAACUGUGAGCAUAAAUGUAAAAAGGUGGUCACUUCUAAAUUUCUAAAAAUUUCCGAGAAAAAGAAUCAAAGUCCUUAGGUGUACACCAUUUACACAGCCAUUUAGAUUAUUUCGCCAUUUAGACUAUUUCGAGCGAGUUUUCUGUGUGUGAGAGAUAAGUAAUUUGUUUGCUGAUCAUUUUAUUCGGUGAGUCAUUUAAAUUAAGAAGAGAGAGAACAAUGCCUAGCUGUGUAGCAGAUUAUUACACAAACUCUGCUAAAAAGGAUUUUAAAAUGUGUCGCUUUCUACGAGACUUAAAAAGACGAAAAAUUUAUGCUGAAAGUACAGGACGACAAGACUGAAUUACGUCUAAUUGUGAUGAGUAGUAUAUGGGCAGCCAUGGAGCGUCACAACAAACCCCCUCCACGUCUCCCUCUGGCG